rnacentral:rRNA from 1 species
CCUACGGGAGGCAGCAGUGGGGAAUCUUGUGCAAUGGACGAAAGUCUGACACAGCCACGCCGCGUGCGGGAAGAAGGCCUUCGGGUUGUAAACCGCUUUCAGCAGGAACGAAAAUAGACGGUACCUGCAGAAGAAGAUGCGGCCAACUACGUGCCAGCAGCCGCGGUGAUACGUAGGCAUCAAGCGUUGUCCGGAUUUAUUGGGCGUAAAGAGCUCGUAGGCGGUUCAGCAAGUCGGGUGUGAAAACUCUGGGCUUAACCCAGAGCCUGCACUCGAAACUGCUGUGACUAGAGUUCGGUAGGGGAGCAGGGAAUUCCUAGUGUAGCGGUGAAAUGCGCAGAUAUUAGGAGGAACACCAAUGGCGAAGGCACUGCUCUGGGCCGAUACUGACGCUGAGGAGCGAGAGCGUGGGUAGCAAACAGGAUUAGAUACCCUGGUAGUCCACGCCGUAAACGGAUGGCACGUAGGUGUGGGUACUCUAACCGAACGAGAUCUGCGCCGUCGCACGCAUAGUGCCCGCCGUCGGGAGGUACGGUCGCGACGACGUAAACCGUACGAACGGAAGUUAGUACGGCGUGAGACGUACGACCGACGGACGACGACGGAGGGAGGUUA